rnacentral:rRNA from 1 species
AAACAUUUCUGGGGGAAAAUGUUUUUGGUAUAACCUGCUCAAUGCUGUAAAUAGCUGCAGUAUUUUGACUGUACAAAGGUAGCAUAAUCAUUAGUCUUUUAAUUGAAGGCUUGUAUGAAAGGUUGAACAGAAUAUUUUUGAUUACAUGUAAACUUAUUGUUUAUGUUAAAAUACAUAUUUGUUUAAAAGGGACGAUAAGACCCUGUAGAAUUUAAAAGUUUGAAGUUUUUAUUGGGGUGAUUAAAUAAACUUUACUUCAGAUGAAUGAUUAAUGAUCCUGAACUAGAAAAAAAGAUAAAAUUACCUAAGGGAUAACAGCAUAAUUUUUUUUAAAAGAUCUUAUUAAUAAAAAAGAUUAUGACCUCGAUGUUGAAUUAAUUAGAAUUUGGUGUAGAAGUAAGUUC